GAUGAACGCUGGCGGCGUGCUUAACACAUGCAAGUCGAACGGUUAAGCCAAGCUUGCUUGGUGGAUCAGUGGCGAACGGGUGAGUAACACGUGAGCAACCUGCCCUGGACUCUGGGAUAAGCGCUGGAAACGGCGUCUAAUACUGGAUAUGAGCCUCUUCCGCAUGGUGGGGGUUGGAAAGAUUUUUUGGUCUGGGAUGGGGUCGCGGCCUAUCCGCUUGUUGGUGAGGUAAUGGCUCACCAAGGCGUCGACGGGUAGCCGGACUGAGAGGGUGACCGGCCACAGUGGGACUGAGACACGGCCCAGACUCCUACGGGAGGCAGCAGUGGGGAAUAUUGCAAAAUGGGCGAAAGCCUGAUGCAGCAACGCCGCGUGAGGGAUGACGGCCUUCGGGUUGUAAACCUCUUUUAGCAGGGAAGAAGCGAAAGUGACGGUACCUGCAGAAAAAGCGCCGGCUAACUACGU
rnacentral:rRNA from 1 species